UACGUAGGGUGCAAGCGUUGUCCGGAAUUAUUGGGCGUAAAGAGCUUGUAGGCGGUUUGUCGCGUCUGCUGUGAAAUUUCGGGGCUCAACCCCGAACUUGCAGUGGGUACGGGCAGACUAGAGUGUGGUAGGGGAGACUGGAAUUCCUGGUGUAGCGGUGAAAUGCGCAGAUAUCAGGAGGAACACCGAUGGCGAAGGCAGGCCUCUGGGCCAUAACUGACGCUGAGAAGCGAAAGCGUGGGUAGCGAACAGG
rnacentral:rRNA from 1 species